GACGAACGCUGGCGGCGUGCUUAACACAUGCAAGUCGAGCGAUGAAGUUCCUUCGGGAAUGGAUUAGCGGCGGACGGGUGAGUAACACGUGGGUAACCUGCCUCAUAGAGGGGAACAGCCUUUCGAAAGGAAGAUUAAUACCGCAUAAGAUUGUAGUUUCGCAUGAAACAGCAAUUAAAGGAGUAAUCCGCUAUGAGACGGACCCGCGUCGCAUUAGCUAGUUGGUGAGGUAACGGCUCACCAAGGCGACGAUGCGUAGCCGACCUGAGAGGGUGAUCGGCCACAUUGGGACUGAGACACGGCCCAGACUCCUACGGGAGGCAGCAGUGGGGAAUAUUGCACAAUGGGGGAAACCCUGAUGCAGCAACGCCGCGUGAGUGAUGACGGUCUUCGGAUUGUAAAACUCUGUCUUCAGGGACGAUAAUGACGGUACCUGAGGAGGAAGCCACGGCUAACUACGUGCCAGCCGCCGCUGUAA
rnacentral:rRNA from 1 species